rnacentral:lncRNA from 1 species
UUACUGUUUCUUAUGUUUUACGUUUGAUUCUUUGUUGCAAAGAAACUCACAAACAAAAGAUUUUAGAAAUACCCACUGUACAUGUAUGUAUUGCUCAAAAUUGUUUGACAGAACAUCAAUAGAACUAAUUAGUUUUUAUAUGAGUUGAUGAUGUUCAGAUCUUCCCCAGCUUGGAGAAACUCCUAUUAAGUGGAAAGGAUUUCAGGAUGAUUUUGCAGGGUGAUUACCCACAAAACCUAUUUGGCAGUCUUAAAUACAUUAAGGUUGCGGAUGAUGACUCAGCUUGUUUUCCACUUGGUUUACUUGAGAAAUUUCAAAAUCUGGAAAUCCUCUUUCUGAGUUGUACUUCAUACACAGAGAUAUUAUCAAAUGAAGGACACUCGGAGAAGCACGUGGGCAAGUUCUCACAAGUAAAACAUUUACAGCCGUACAAACUGAAUGAUCUGAAGCACCUAUGGAAACAAGACUCCAAACUGGACUCCAUUCUUGCAAAUCUUGAAAUUCUACGAGUAUAUUGUUGUCAAAAUCUGACUGUUCUAUUGCCAUCAUCAUCGGUAUCGUUUUGGAAUCUAACAGAUCUGCAAGUUUGGGGCUGCAAGAAAUUGAUGAAUUUGGUAACAUCCUCCACAGCAAAGAGUCUAGUGCGCCUCAUGACAAUGAAGGUGUGUGGGAGCAAAGCAAUGACACAAGUGGUGGUAAGUGAGGAAGAUGGAGCAGAAGAUGAAAUUGUUUUCAGCAAAUUGAAGACAUUGUCUCUGCUUGAUUUAGAUAGCCUCACAAGUUUCUACUCUGGCAAUUACACCUUCAAAUUCCCAUCUCUACAAGAUUUAGAAGUGAUUGGUUGUCCCAAGAUGAAGAUUUUCACCACAGGAGAAUUAUGCACACCGCCGAGAGUAAAUGUCUGGUAUGGAGAGGGAGAUGGUGAAUGUCGUUGGGCUAAUGACCUUAACGUUACGAUACAAGAGUUGCAUGCUGAAAAGGUACGGUUAACCCACCAACUUAACUCCCAAGGAAAAAUUUUACAAAUUUGCACUUUUUAACAAAAUUUAGAAAAUAGAUCAUGGACAACCAAGUUUGACUCAUUAGAAUAUUUAUUAUUGAGUAAGUGCAUGAUCGGGUUUGAAAAAGUAUGAGACACUUCUGUAUGUAGUUCUUGAAACUGUCCAAUUUAAAACAGACAUAUUCAAUUCUCAAAAAAUCAUGAAUCAUUAGUUUUAACUUCAUAAUAUAAAAGUCGUGUCAAAUUAAUGAAUGAGAAUUUUGUUUUCAGAUGUUGGAGGGGUCGUCAUCUAACUUGAGGAAGUACGAUUGGUGAUCAUGUUGGCUUUUUAAUUUAUUACUUGGAGUUGUGAAUUUGAAGAAUAAAGUCCCAGGUAAAUAAUUUAAUUUCCCUUAUUUGAUCUCAUAGCUUGUUUCAUCGGUUCACCUGAACUAUUUAGAUUGCGUCACUGGUUUAUUGUUAACUUUAAAAUGAAGUUUUAAUGUUUCAUUCGGGGCUUUAUGAGCAAAUUUUACAUCAUUGAAUGUCCUUUGGUCUGAACUUUUGAGCUUUUUGUUUGAUAGUCAAGGCUUUAUAGUAUGCUAUUUAUAAUUCCUUAAGAAUGUGCAAAAUUUUUUAUGAUAAAAUUGCUUGAAUAUGUCAUUGAAAGGAACUUCUAUGUUGCUCUUUAUGAUUACAGAGUUCUCAAUGUUAUCACUCUUCUUUUGCAGGAUGUGGAAUCAAAGAUACUUUUCUAUGAAAUUUGUGUUCCUUGUAUUAAAAGUUUACAUGCUGAAGGGCUUCCUGUGUUAUCUUUGCUGUUCUACUUGUGCUUUACUUCAUUGUGUCGCUACAGCUUUGUGAGUGUUAUGUUAACUAUUGUUUCCUUCAUUUGGGCAUUGUAAGUUUCGAAGGCGCUACAUUGCUUGACUAAAGAUGCUUAAAUUUAUCAUCUGUUUGUACCCCUUGUAUUAUAUACAAUAAAUUUUUGAUGUAUUUUGACAUUUAAUACGAGAUAUGUUUGAAUUUUCAUUGAAAGGUUUCAUAAUUGUUCAAAUUUAUCUUCAGUUUUAUUUUUGUUAUCUUGUUGGAACCAAAUUGACAACCAAGAUCAAUUUGGAACACCCAAGAUCCACUCUAAGAAACUUGAUCUUAACUAGGUCUGAUACUAGACUGAGUUUAAGAAGAAAUUUGCCUAGGUAAGUGGAAUCAAACACAACUCAAGGAACAAAAGCAGAAAAGAAAGAAAACAGAUCUCACACACAGCACCAAGAUUUAUAGUGGUUCGGCCAUUUUCUUGCCUAUAUCCACUGUGAAAAGAGAAGCAAGCUUUCACUGAUUUCAGAGAUUACAAGUCACAGAGAUGAAGAGUAUGUGUAACAGAAUCGAAACCCCUCAGUAACAGAUCAUAGAGCCUUUUACAUUUCAAUCAAAACCCUCUAAAAGGACCCCAAACAAUCAGCUCACGCUCCUGGGUUUCUCAGCUAAGCAAUCCCAGCUGCAUCUGCAUCCCGCGUGAAUUAACUGAAUUAACAGCUUCUGGAACUGCUCAGGGACACUUGUCAAAUGCUCGUAUAAUUUGCUACUUCAAAAACCGACAUGACAUCACUUCCUUCCCCAAGCAUCAGACACGUCAUACACAUUCCCGAAUCCAGAUUUGAGCUUCCCCUCUUCAGCAUAUCUCAAAUACAUGUUAGGCCUUGCAUGCAUAGACGCACGUAAUAUCCCAGAAGAGUUUUAUCAGAUGAUUUUACUAUCAUCGUUGUUGUUGCUGCUCCCGCCGCCGCCAUUAUUACUAUUAUUAUACUACUACUUGAAAAUUUCAAGUAUUUUAGAUGAGAAAUUUAUUAUGUUAGAGAUAUUCAUAAUAUACAUGAUGCUGAAAUCAGGGAAUUUGUUGUCUCAGUUUGUUUUAUUUUUGUUUGCCUCGAAUCAAAUUUUGAAAUUUAAGAACUAUGGUAAGAGAUGGAACAAGAGGAGUUAAAAAAUUUGCCAAAAUUGAUGUAGCAAUGAAACAAUUGUAUCCUAACAUGUUUAGCAUCAUUCUACUUUAUGAUCAUUGUUGUUCCGUUAUUUUAGUUCUUGCUCUGUUUGUUCUGUUUCUCUGUUUAUUUCACUGGGGGUUUGCUUCACAAAAUCUUACUUUCAAAAUUUAGAAGGCAAGGAAAGAGCGCUUCGAAAAUGCAAGAGGUAUCAAAUCAUGCAUUAAAAAACUUGUUGGCUGCUGGCUGGUCUAUUUCAUUGGCACCGAUCGAAUCAUUAUCCCUAAAAUAAUUAGGAGUCGGAGAUAUAAGUGUGAAAAUAACAGGAUCAUUUACAACAUGGAAAUCAGUCGCCAUUGGUAGGUGGCGCUGCAUAUGAUAAUAACAACUGAUUGAUACCAACAAAGUGUUGGCUCCACUGGUAAUGGAGUCCCCUUAAGUGGCUUGACUGGAUUUGCUCCCCAGUUCGAGUCGCAGGGAAGUCGCCUUUGUUGGGAGAAUCUGUGCCUCCCGGUUCGAGCGGAGACUUCUAGUCUGGGUUGUGGUACGGGCUUAAAGGUGCCUCCCACAGUUGGGGCCCUCCCCAGGAUACCUCGUGAUUAAUAUAAAAAAAAAAAAACAACUGAUUGAUGAAAUUAAUGCCAUCAAUCUGCCUGUUAAUGUUGUUGACGCGUGUCAAAUUUUCAUGCAUAUUAGAAUUUAUUAGUGAGGUUGCAUUAUGGUCCAUAUCGUCAAUAACUUUAGCAGUCAAAUUUUACGCCACUGGAGUCAAAUUUUCAUGCAUAAAGCUGUUGGCUGGUCUGUUUGGCUCUACAAUGAUUUAUCUUUUCGACUUAAAAUGAUUCCAAAAAGCCAUCAGCAAUCUCUAGUGCAACUCUUCAAAAAAAAAAAUUAAAAUAAAAAUAAAAGUCUCAAAAAGUAUCAUUAAUUUAAUUCUAUUGUUUCCGGGUAAUCAGAACGUGUUUGAUAAAUAUUUAUAAGUUACAGUUUGAAAAUUAAAUAGAUUUUAUUUAACAAAAAGAUAUUGUUGACGCGUGUCAAAUUUUCAUGCAUAUUAGAAUUUAUUAGUGAGGUUGCAUUAUGGUCCAUAUCGUCAAUAACUUUAGCAGUCAAAUUUUACGCCACCGGAGUCAAGUGAUUUUUAAGCAGUUUUAUUCAACUGGUUACCUGAGUUCGAAUCUUAAAGAGAUAAAUAGUUAAAAAUGAAUUUAGACUUUGCCUACUCCUUUAAUAAAAAAAGAAGGUCAUUUAGUCUUAACUUUUGAAAUUUUUAUUUGACAUUUCGGCUUUAUAGCAUGCGAUGUAUUUUCUUAAAUUUUAUAAUUCCUUGAGAAUGUGCAAACAUUUUAUGAUAAAAUUACUUAAAAAUGUCGUUGAAACGAACUGAACUUUUUAUGUUGAAAGAAAGCCUUAUUAUUUUUCUGUACUUCUAUGUAAUGCUUUAUGGUUACAAAAUUCUCAUUGUUAUCACUCUUCUUGUGCAAGAUCUGUAAUGAAAGAUACUUUUCUGUCAAAUUUGUGUUCCUGAUAUUAAAAGUUCACAUGCUGGGGGGCUUCCUAUUUCAUCUUUGUCAUUCUACUUGUGCUUUGCUUCAUUGUGUAGCUACAGCAUUAUAAGCGUUACCAUAACUUAUCUGCAGCAAUUUUAUAAUUUACUAUUAUUGUGGUUGUUGCUGCUAUCAUUGUUCUACUAGUUGGAAAAUUCGAAUUCUUUUAGACGUGACAUUUAUCAUAUUAGAUAUUCAAGGUAUACAUACAUGCAUAUAUAUAUAUAUAUAUAUACUGGGUAUCUGUUUAGAUAUGAUGCAGAGAAAUGACAGAAGUUGUAUUAAGUGACGAAGAUUGAGCAGCAAAACAAGAGAUAGUUUUCAGCAAAUUAAAGACGUUGGCUCUGUUUGAUUUAGUUAGACUCACAAGUUUCUGCUCUGGCAAUUGCACUUUCAAAUUCCCAUCCUUGCAAGAUUUAACUGUGAUUGACUGUCCCAAGAUGAAGAAUUUUACUAGAGGAGAAUUAUGGAUGCCAUCUGGUACGGAGAGAGAGAAGAUGAAAGCCGUUGGGCUAAUGACCUUAACACAACCAUACAACAACUACAUGCAGAAACGGUAUGAUUAAUUCACUAUUCUAUCUCCAAUGGAAAAGUUUUACAAAAUUUGCAAUUUUUUAACAAAACGUAGAAAACUGAUCAUUGACAAGUUAGUUUGAUUCAUUAGAAUAUUCGCUAUUACUUUUGUAUUUAAUUCAUCAAACUGUCCUAUUUAAUAUUGACAUUUUCACAAAAGUUAGAUAAUGUUUUUCAAUUCUCACAAAUUCGUUAAUAAUUAGUUUUAAUUUCAUAAUAUGAAAAUCUUGUCAAAGAAAUUGUGUUAUUAAACUUAUUAAAUCUCUCGCUAGUGGCUUCCUUCCUAAUCUCCAUGUGCUUUAGUAUUUAUUUCCAAGUGCCUAAUUUUACGACUUUUAAUUUAGAUUAAUGAAUGACAAUUCUUAUUUUUUCAGCUGUUGGAGGGGCUUUCAUCUUAGUCGACUUUAUACAAGUAAUCUGAUCAAAUACAUUUUAGUACUUGGAUAAGAUGUGGAUUUGAAGACUAAAGAUCGCAGGUAACUAAUUUUAUUACUUAUGUACUUUUCUCAUGGUUUUGUUUCAUCGUUUCAUCUAAACUCUUUGGAAUGCAUUAAUUUUGUUUAUUGUUAAUUUGGAACGAAGUUUUAACGUAUCAUUCAGGGAUUUUGUUUGCAUCAUUGAGGGUUGUUUGGCCUUAACUUCUGAGGUUUUUGACAUUCAGCUUUAUAUUGUGCUAUUUUUUGUAAUUUUAUAACUUCUUGAAAGCAUGCAUAUAUUUUUUUUCUUAUCAUGAUGCCUCGAAAAUGUCAUUAGAAGGGACAGCAGUUUUCUUUUUCUUAUUUAUUUUCAAGUAUCUACGUUUGCGAAUUUUAGUUCAACUUGUUGAAUGGGAAUUUUGUUUUCAGCUACGUACAAGACGAUGCCGCUGCUGCUGCCAUUGUUACUGUCAUAGUUACUAUUACUCGAAAAUUUCAAGUAAUUUAGUUGUGAAAUUCAUUAUGUUAGAGAUAUUCAAAAUAUAUAUGAUGCUGAAAGAAAAGAGUGGACUUGUUGUCUCAGUUUGUCUCAUUUUGUUUUCUCCAACUCUAAUUUUCAAAUUUUAGAAAUAUGGUAAGAGAAGGAACAAAAUGAGUAAAAAAAUUGUCAAAAUAGUUGUAGCUAUGAACAAUUAUAUCCAAACACAUUUAGCAUCAAUCUACUUUGCCAAAUUUUUUAGUCAUCGUCUUUGCUCGGUUGUUUUAGUUUUUGCCCUGUUUGUUCUCUUUAUUUUGAUUGAGUUUGCUUUACAAAGUCUAUCUUUCAAAACUUAGAAGGCGAGGAAAGAGCGGGUAGGAAAUGCAAAAGGUAUCAAAUCAUGCAUAUGGUCAAAUGCUCCUGUAUAUGAACACAUAAAGAACAAUUGAAAUAUCAUUCACCGGAUAACACAAACAAAUAAAAAAAAAAAAAAAAAGAAGAAAGAGAGAAAAUCUAAUCGUCUCAUUAUCCCGAACACAAAUAAUUAAACCAUCAAAUGUUUGCAAUGAGCACAAUCAGAUCAUCUCUUUGGAAUAAUUACAUGUUGGCUUGGCCUAUUUUUUGGCCGGUAAAAAGGUUUUUGGCUGGAGCAUUUGGCCUUAACUUUUUUUUUUUUUUGAGUCUAUAUCAAUUGAUGCCACUAUGUCAAUAAUAAUUGGUAGGAAAUAAAUUAAUAUGUAACUAUAUCUUCUUAAUUAAUUAUUUGUUUUUUUAUCCAUUUACAUUGGAAAAAAGGGGUGCAGGGUCAGGAAGCUUCUUAGACGUGGCACGUUCAAAAGCUUUUUUUUUUUUUUGUCUGAACCACAUGGUCCUGAGUAGGCCCUAACUGUGGGAGAUACCUUUAAGCUCAUACCACAAUCCAAACUAAUCUCCACUCGCACCAGGUCGGCCCGUAAGGGAUAAAGUACUGGCUAAAGUGGUGACUCCAUAUAAGAGCGGGGCUUGAACCUCUGACCUCUCUUAAGAAGUGAGAGUGCCGAACCACUCUGUUCAAAAGCUUUUCUUUUUUAAAAGCUGCGUCAAGCAUGACACGUCAACAUCAUUUACAAGUGGGAACAACUCUUUUUCAUAAAAGAAAAGCCUUUUUUGUUUUAAAAUAAAGUUUUUUUGGAUGAUUCACUAUUACUAAUUGCCCAAGUCAUUCUAUUGCGAAUACAUGCAAAUUAAUAAAGAGACUUGUGGGGUUGCUGGAUAGAAAUUGUUGAAUACAUACAAAUUAUUGAACAGAAAUCCAAUAAUUGAACACCGGCCAAUUCUUGUCCAAUCAAAUUAAAACUCAAUUAAUAUAUUCCACUAAAUUUUUCGUACAACAUCCUAUUCAGAUGAAUAAAAUGUAAAAAAUAAAAUAUAUAAUUCAAAAAAUUAUAAAGGAUGCAAUUUAGCAGGUCAUACAAUAUACCAACAUCAUUUACAAGUGGGAACAACUCUUUUUCAUAAAAGAAAAGCCUUUUUUGUUUUAAAAUAAAGUUUUUUUGGAUGAUUCACUAUUACUAAUUGCCCAAGUCAUUCUAUUGCGAAUACAUGCAAAUUAAUAAAGAGACUUGUGGGGUUGCUGGAUAGAAAUUGUUGAAUACAUACAAAUUAUUGAACAGAAAUCCAAUAAUUGAACACCGGCCAAUUCUUGUCCAAUCAAAUUAAAACUCAAUUAAUAUAUUCCACUAAAUUUUUCGUACAACAUCCUAUUCAGAUGAAUAAAAUGUAAAAAAUAAAAUAUAUAAUUCAAAAAAUUAUAAAGGAUGCAAUUUAGCAGGUCAUACAAUAUACCAAAAAAAGUCUUGGGGGUGCAGUGGGAAUAUUUCUUGACAGAAAGAGUCUUAAAAAUUUUUUCGCCAGAAAACAUUUUCUCUCUCUGAUCUCUGUAUUCUUCAGAUCCUCCUCCUUGCUUGAACGUCUGUAACUUUGUCAUCCAUGAUUUGCAUUCAAUUCUUGACGAAAAAACCUUUUUCCGGAUUUUCAUCUUUUGAUCUCAAACAUGCUUUGCUUCUGUUGAUUGUGGUCGCUUCUAGUGCUAGUUCUCUUCUUAUAUAGCUUUGUUCCCUUUUGCCAUCAGCUCUUUGCAUUUCCUUGGAUGAAGAAACCUUUUUCUUGUUUCAAUUUUCUGAUCUCAAAAGCACUUUGAUUCUAGUCUGCCACACUGAUUUUGUCCUUGUUUUGUACAAACAUAAUUUCGCCAUUAUCUGUUUGAUUAUCAAUUGACCCGUCGUUGACUCUAUUCUAUUUCUAUGUGAAAAAUACGAAAAAAAAAAAAAAGAGAUUGAAGAUGGUGGAAAGCAUUGUUACUGUUGUUUUAGAAGUUGUGAAAUGCUUGGCUCCUCCGACACAACGCCAACUUGAUUACUUGCGAAACUACAAUGAAAACAUUCAGAAACUCGAGGCAGAAACCGAGAGCCUGAAGGUUGAAAUUAGGAGCAUUGAGCGCAGAGUUUUUGGGGCCGAAAAACAAGGAGAAAAGAGUGAAGAGAAAGUCGAGAAGUGGUUGGUUAGCGCCAACAAGAUCAUUGAUGAGGUGAAUGCCAAAUUCAUGGGAGAUGAAGAGACUGCAAAUAAGCGAUGUCUCAAGGGGCUGUGUCCUAAUUUGAAGGCUCGCUAUCAGCUUAGCAAGAAAGCAGAGACACAGGUGAAGGCCCUUGUUGAGUGCCGAGAAGAAGCCGGUCGACUUGAUAGAAUUUCCUACCUUACCUAUCCGGACAAGAUAUGGCUCAAGUCCCACAAAGGUUACGAGGCCUUUGGAUCAAGGCUUUCUACUUUGAAGUGUAUACAAAACGCUUUGACUGAUGUUAAUGUCAGCAUCGUUGGAGUGUACGGCAUGGGCGGCGUUGGAAAGACGACUCUAGCGAAGGAGAUCGUUAGGCAAGCCUUGGCAGACAAGCUCUUUGAUCAAAUAGCCUUUUCAGAGGUUUCCGAAACUGCAGACAUAAAAAAGAUUCAGCGGGAUAUUGCUGAGGACUUGGGUCUCGCAUGGCAUGAGGAAACUGAAUCUAGAACUGCGAGUAGACUGUAUGAACAGUUGAAGAAUGAGAAGAAGAUUCUUGUGGUUCUAGAUAACAUAUGGAAGCAUCUUGAUUUGGAGACUGUUGGAAUUCCUUUUGGUGAUGAUUAUAGAGGUUGUAAACUCUUGCUGAUAGCAAGAGAUCGUAAUGUUUUGUUGGAUAUGGAUUCUAAACAUAACUUCUUUAUUGACAACUUAAAUGAAGAAGAAGCUUGGAGAUUGUUUAAGACGAUGGCGGGUGAUUAUGUUGAAAAUCGUCAGCUGAAAUCUACAGCAACAGAUGUAGCCAAGGGAUGUGGAGGCUUGCCUAUUGCCUUAGCUACAACAGCAAGGGCAAUGAGAGACAAGACUGUGCAUGAAUGGAAGAAUGCCUUGCGAGAACUUCAGACGCCUUCAGUGAUGAACUUCGAAGGACUGCCGGCAGAUACUUAUGCAAGAAUCGAGCUGAGUUUCAAGUAUUUAAAAGGUGAGCAGCUCAAGAAAAUUUUUCUGCUUUGUAGUCUAAUGGGUAAUCCUAUUUUUACUUCAGACCUGUUUAAAUACUCCAUGGGUUUGGGUAUACUCCAAGGAGUCAAGAAGAUGGAAGAUGCACGAAACCAAUUAUAUGCAUUGGCCUAUAAACUUAAAGACUCUUGUUUGUUGCUUGAGGGAGGUAGCAGCGAACAAUUUUCAAUGCAUGACGUCGUUCGCGAUGUUGGCAUAUCAAUUGCUUACCGGGACCAACAUGUAUUUUUGGCAAAAAAUGAGGAUGUGUUGGAGCUGCCGGACAAGGAAGCACUUGUAAAUUGCUAUGCGAUUUCUAUAAGUGGUUGCCGUAUUCAGGAGCUUCCUCAAGGAUUGGAAUGCUUGCAACUCGAACUUUUAUAUAUAUCUCCCAAAGACUCUUACCUUCAAAUCAAUAUUCCUGAGAACAUUUUUGCAGGGAUGCGGAAGCUUAGAGUUGUAGAUUUUACUGGGAUGCAAUUAUGUUGCUUGCCAUCUUCAAUUGAUCUCUUAGUAAAUCUUCAAACACUAUGUUUGGAUCAAUGCAUGUUGAGUGACAUAGCAAUUAUUGGAAGGUUGAAGAAUCUGGAAAUCCUUAGCUUUUUAAAUUCAGAUAUUGUGCAGUUGCCUGAAGAACUAGGUGAAUUGACUAAGCUAAGGUUGUUAGAUUUAUCCAAUUGUUUCCAGCUAAAAGCUAUUGCACCCAAUGUCCUAUCAAGCUUAACUCGAUUGGAAGAACUCUACAUGAAAAAUUGCGUUAUCGAAUGGGAUGUUCAAAGACCCAAUGGUGGAAGAAGUACUGCCAGCCUUGGUGAGUUGUUGCAAUUGCCUCGACUGACCACUCUAGAAAUAGAUGUCAAAAAUGAUAGUAUUUUACCAGAAGGCUUUUUUGCAAAAAAAUUAGAAAGGUUCAAAAUAUCAAUAGGAGAUGAGUCAUUCAAGCCUCCGGUGCGUGCGGAUGAAUGGUUCGGUAGUCGGCCGGUUUUGAUCAGUGAUCCUUCGAGUCUAAGAACCAUAAAGCUGAAGCUUAGCUCAAAGCCUAUUUGCUCGAAGAAAAUGCAGGGCAUCCAGAAUGUUGAAUACUUGUGUUUGGACAAGCUGCAAGGUGUCAAGAAUGUUCUUUUAGAUAUGGACAUUGAGGGAUUUCUACAGUUGAAGCAUCUCCAUGUUCAAAAUAAUCCUGACUUCGUGUGCGUUGUUGACUCAACGGAGGGGGUACGUCGUGAUGUGUUUCCUCUUUUGGAGUCACUUACUCUUUACAAUUUGAUUAACAUGGAGAGGGUAUGUAUUGAUCGACUCAAAGUAGAGUCUUUCUGUGAACUUAAAACCAUACAGGUGGGAAAAUGUGAUGAGUUGAGUAAUAUCUUCUUGCUGUCUUCUAUAAGCUGCCUUCCCACACUUGAGAGGAUUGCAGUUUUUGAUUGCGAUAAGAUUGAAGAGGUCUUUGCAAUUGGUGGAGAACCAGAUGUCGACAACAAUAAUGCAGUGGAGAAGAUAGAGUUUGCAGCAGUAAAAUUUUUACAUCUGCAAAAUCUUCCGAAGCUUGCAAGUUUUUGCUCUGAAGUAAAGAGACCAAAUACACAAGGGUCGCAAGAGGAAUUGACAGCUACUACUUGCUCGACCGAAAUCAGUUUGUUGGAGGAGGACAAGCUUGAUACUUCGACACCGCUUUUCAACGAGAAGGUAAGCUGUUAUAAUGAAACCAAAGCAUUCGUUUUUCUUUCUCAACUUAUUCUAUCGUGCAUUUUCGUUUGAUGACAACUAUAGAAAAUGAAUUAUAAGGGAAAAAGAAAAUGAGAAUUGGAAAUUAGAAUCUCACACACUCACUCACUAAGCUCGCUUUACAUAUUAAUGAUGUGAAUUAAAUUGCAUAUUAAGUGUAUGUUUAGUAUGGUAAUAAUUCUCAAAAAAUCAUUUUUAGCACGGAUUUCUAAAAACUAUAUUUGAAAAAAGUUUAACACAAUGUUUUGUAAAUGGGUGAGCUAUUUGCACCUUAAAAAUUACUCUAAACACUCUAAUUGAAAUAAAAAUUUAUAACAAAAAUAUCUAUCAUAUGAAUUAUAUAAAGGACAAUUUAUUAUAAGUCAAUAUUACAUAAUUACUAUGAACGCCCCAUAUAACACACUCAUUAUUUAAUAUAUAUAAUUUUCAUGUUUUAAACCUUAAAACUUUUUUAUUUACAUCUUCAUCAAUACUUAGAUGAAUAAUGAUAAAAUCAAUAUUUUUCUUUUAUUUUUCCAUAAAUAAUCAAUAUCAAACGCGCACUGAAGCUGUCACUUGGAAGAUGAUUUGAUCUAACAAGAAAUUAAUGUUUAGGUUGUGUUCCCCAACUUGGAAGAUUUGGAGUUGAUUGGAAUUAAUGUCGAAAAGAUUUGGCACAAUCAACUUCCAGCCAUGUUUCCUCGCUUUCAAAGUUUAACAAAAUUAAUCGUGGGGAAGUGUCACAAAUUAAAAUGUAUAUUUUCGGCUUCUAUGCUCAGAAGCUUUGAGCACCUCCGACACCUGGAUAUAUGCAACUGUAUGGGUUUGCUUGAGAUUAUUUCCGAAGGAGCAGAUCAAGUGCCACCUUGUUUUAUCUUUCCGCGGCUGACAUUUCUAAGACUAGGUGAACUACCAGAACUUAGAUGUUUAUAUCCUGGAAUGCAUACUUCGGAAUGGCCGGCACUAAACUCGUUGAUGGUCUUUGGUUGUGACAAAAUAAAGUUAUUUGCUUCUGAGUUAUCUAGCUUCCAUGGAAACAUUGAUGAGAAUCAACUUCCUAUCCCAGCACAACAGCCUCUGUUCUUGAUCGAAAAGGUACAUAUGAAACCAUUUAUUUGAUCUUUUAUCGGUUGCAUCUUACUGUUUCUUAUGUUUUAUGUUUGGUUCUUCGAUGCAAAGAAACUCACAAACAAUAGAUUUUAGAAAUACCCGCUGUACAUGUAUGUGUUACUCAAAAUUGUUUGACAGAACAUCAAUUGAACUAAUUAGUUUUUAUGUGAGUUGAUGAUGUUCAGAUCCUCCCCAACUUGGAGAAUCUGCUAUUAAGUGGAAAGGAUUUCAGGAUGAUUUUGCAGGAAGAUUACCCACAACACCUCUUUGGCAGUCUUAAAUACAUUGAGGUUGUGGAAGAUGACUCAGCUUGUUUUCCGCUUGGUUUACUUGAGAAGUUUCGCAAUCUGGAAAUCCUCUAUCUGAGUGGUACUUCAUACACAGAGAUAUUAUCAAAUGAAGGACACUCGG